CCGCAUAAUCCGGCUGAAUUUUGGUUUGGUCGGCAAAGGUGGCCUCUCAUGAAAGCUACCGGGAAGAGAUGAGUCCGCGUCCCAUUAGCUAGUUGGUGGGUAACGGCCUACCAAGGCGACGAUGGGUAGCUGGUCUGAGAGGACGACAGCCACACUGGAACUGGUACACGGUCCAGACUCCUACGGGAGGCAGCAUGAGGAAUAUUGCGCAAUGGGGGAAACCCUGACGCAGCGAUGCCGCGUGGUGAAGAAGGCCUUCGGGUCGUAAAGCUCUGUCAAGUGGGAAGAACUGCUAUGGACGAAUAAUCCAUAGGUUUGACGGUACCACUGAAGGAAGCACCGGUAACUCCGUGCCAGCAGCCGCGGUAAGACGGAGGGUGCAAGCGUUAUUCGAUUUAUUGGGCGUAAAGAGCGUGUAGGCGGCCGGUCAAGCCAGAUGUGAGCCCA
rnacentral:rRNA from 1 species